rnacentral:rRNA from 1 species
GACGAACGCUGGCGGCGUGCCUAACACAUGCAAGUCGAACGGUGAAGCGCCUUCCUUUUUGGUGGGUGUGGAUGAGUGGCGAACGGGUGAGUAACACGUGAGUAACCUGCCCCCUUCUUCUGGAUAACCGCAUGAAAGUGUGGCUAAUACGGGAUAUUCUGGGUCUGUCGCAUGAUGGGUCUGGGAAAGAUAUUGUUUCGGUGGGGGAUGGGCUCGCGGCCUAUCAGCUUGUUGGUGGGGUGAUGGCCUACCAAGGCGGUGACGGGUAGCCGGCCUGAGAGGGUGGACGGUCACACUGGGACUGAGACACGGCCCAGCCUCCUACGGGAGGCAGCAGUGGGGAAUAUUGCACAAUGGGCGCAAGCCUGAUGCAGCGACGCCGCGUGAGGGAUGGAGGCCUUCGGGUUGUGAACCUCUUUCGCCAGUGAAGCAGGCCUGCCUCGUUUGUGGGUGGGUUGACGGUAGCUGGAUAAGAAGCGCCGGCUAACUACGUG